CCUACGGGAGGCAGCAGUGGGGAAUAUUGCGCAAUGGGGGAAACCCUGACGCAGCAACGCCGCGUGAGUGAGGAAGUAUCUCGGUAUGUAAAGCUCUAUCAGCCGGGAAGAAAGAGGACGGUCGCCGACUAAGAAGCCCCGGCUAACUACGUGCCAGCAGCCGCGGUACUACGUGGGGGGCGGCCGUUAUCCGGAUUUACUGGGUGUUAAGGGAGCGUAGACGGCGUCGCAAGUCUGAAGUUAAAGUCCGGGGCUCAACCGCGGAACCGCUUUGGAAACUGCGAGGCUUGAGUGCUGGAGAGGUAAGCGGAAUGCCUGGUGUAGCGGUGAAAUGCGUAGAUAUCAGGAGGAACACCGGUGGCGAAGGCGGCUUACUGGAGAGUGACUGACGUUGAGGCACGAAAGCGUGGGGAGCGAACAGGAUUAGAUACCCUAGUAGUC
rnacentral:rRNA from 1 species